AUGUCUCUUGCACCGUUCGUGACAUCUUCUUCACCCUCUUCGCUCAGCCGUCCACCACCAUCAUGCCAUGGCUUCGUCCUCACCGCACAUAUUCAUUUCCGUUUGCUCUCAUCUCUCCAUCUGACUUUCACUUCUACUUCAUACUCCACCGAGAAACAAACCUUCUUACGCUUUGAUUUCGAGUUUUGUUUCAACUUCAUCAAAAAAAUAAAUCGUAGAAGUGAAAGGGCUUACCGACUGAAGAAGCGUAUGAUGUCUCUUCAAACACGAUGUACAUGA